rnacentral:rRNA from 1 species
UGGAAUGUAUUAUUUACCAAAUUAUUCUUAUUUUAUUUAUAAUUAAGAAUAAUUUGGAAAGUAUAUAAAGAAAUUAUUAUGGAUUAUUAGCAAUAUACCAGAAGAGAACAGAUAAUAAAAUUCUUUAAUUUGUGUUUAGCACAUAAGCUCUUAGAGAAAUUAAGUAAAAAACGAAGUGAAAAGAAACUUCUUAGUAACUUUAGGAAAAGAAAUCAAAAGAGAUUCUAUAAUUAGUGUGAAUGAAAAUAGAGAAGCCUAUAAAUAAAUAAGUAAAAUGGGUAUUAAUCUGUUUGAAUUAUAAGGGGAACCUUCCUCUAAGGCUAAAUAUGGUAUAUUAGCGAUAGUGAAUAGUACCGUGAGGGAAAAAUAUGAAAUAGUAGUUUUAUAAGCAGCUCGAAAAGAAUUUAAAUAAAUAAUAAGAGUGUACCUUUUGUAUAAUGGGUCAGCAAGUUAAUAUUAGAUGUGAGCAGUAUUGCCUAGAUAAAACGAUUAUCAAAUUAAUGAAAAAAUAUCUAAUAUUAGACCCGAAACCUAGUGAUCUUACCAUGGUCAGGAUUAUAAAAGUCCGAACGGGUUAUCGUUGUAAAGAUAUCCGAUGAAUUGUGGUAAGUUGGUGAAAGACAAAACUGACUAGGAAUAGCUGGUUUUCCGCGAAACCUAUCUAAGUAGGUAAUUUAAAUAACAUCAUAGCAGGUACAGAACUGAGAUCUCAUAUCAACUUAUUGAUUAGUUUUAAUCAAUUUUUUUAAUAUCGGGGAAUCGUGAAGAUUUUACUGAUGAGUAAUCAUCCUCGGAAUGGUAAUGAUGAAUGUUGAAUAAUCAGACAUAGAAUGCUAAGGUUGUAUGUCAAAAGGGAAACAGCCCAGAACAAGUGUUAUAGUAAGGUUCCAAAAUUAUUAUUAAGUGAAAUAAAGGAAGUCUUUUUUUUAAUUCGAUCAGGAAAUAGGCUUAGAAGCAGUCAUUUUUUGAAGACCUCGUAACAGAGCACUGGUUAACAUUGAAAAAGGCAUUGAAAAUUUAACGGAUCUAAAAUAAUAUACCGAAACCUUGUCCAUAGUUAUAAUAGCUGGCCCCCUCUUCCCUUCCCUCUCCCCCAAAAGGGAGGGGGGGGGGGGGAAGAGGGGGGACUGCAGCCCCUCUCUCUUCGAGAGAGGGGCCGCUUUUUUUAAUAAUUAUGGGGUAGCGGAACGUAGGGUAUAUAAAAGAAUUUUGGUCUUUUUAAGAAAAAUAAUAUAACCCUAGUGAUAAUGCUGAUAUGAGUAACGAUAAAGGCCAGCCUACGGGUUGGCCUCGCCUUAAGCUUAUGGUAUAAAUGAAAGUAACGGCCUCUAAGUUUAUUAACCUAAAGGACUAAAUGAUGAGAAAACCUUGUUUAUGCAGCACAACCUUUAAAUCUUAAUACAAAAUAGCAUCCCCUCUCUCUUCGAGAGAGGGGAUGCCCCAUUUAGUAAAAGAUAAGUGAUGAAGAGUUCUGGAAAAAUGAUAAACAUAUAACCGUACCUAAAUACCAUCUCAGGUAAGCAAGUAGAGAAUACGAAGGCGUUUGAGUGAACAAUCAUAAAGGAACUCGGCAAAAUAACUCCGUAACUUAGGGAUAAGGAGUACCGUUCAUCUUAAUUAAUAUCAAGAAAAGUUUAGGUAGCAUAAAAUCGAGUUGUACGACUGUUUAAUUAAAACAAAGCACUUUGCAUAAAGAUGACAAGUCUAAGUAUUAAGUGUGAUCUCUGCCCAAUAUUUGUAGGAUAACGAAUAAGCUCAGUGGAUAACACAAGAUUGGCUUAAGAGGAAUCUCUGAUUAAUGGCGGCCUUAUCUAUAAGGGUCCUAAGGUAGCGGAACACCCUGGCCGUUAAAUGCGGUCUUGCAUGAAUGAUUUAACGAUACAACAGCUGUCUCUAUGAUUGGCUCAGUGAAAUUGGAAUAGCAGUGAAGAUACUGUUUACCUCUAGAUAGACGAGAAGACCCUAUGCAGCUUUACUGUUACUAGCUAUUGCAUAUGGUAGGGCAAAGUUGUAGUGUAUAAGGUAGUUGGUUAGAUAGAAUUGAAACACCUUUACUUUAAACUAUCAUAUAGCUGGGAAGCCGGAUUAUUACGUCCGAGCAUAUCCCCCUCGAAAUAGCAAAUGGCCACCUCUCACUCCUGGCUACGCCAGGAUGAAGGGUGGUGUUAAUUUUAACAACGUUUGUUAAAUUAGGGUGACCAUAUUAUCAUUAAGUAAUGAAUAAAAGAAUAUUGGCUAGGUGGCAGUUUAUGCGGGGCACAGAUCCCAUAAAGAGUACCUGGGUGUAUCCAAAAUAGAAAAAAAUACUAGUGCAUGGGGCGCUUUGCGGCCCAAGCCUUAUUUUAAAUUUAAUUAAAUUUAAGGUAAUUUCAUUAUUAUCUUUUUAAAAUGUUUUAUAUAGUUUAUAUAAAAUUAAAUCAAGUAUGAAUCUAUUUUAGUUAGAGACUUUAUUUAUCAAGAAAGUAAGAGUUAACUAUAUGGAAAAUAGUGGAGAAGUAUAAGUAUUAACUGUACUAAUGUAUGGUAAUAUAUUUUAGUUGCUUAAAUCUGGCUUGAGGCCUUAUGAAAAGCGAUUUUUAUUUUUAUCUCUGAAUAAGUUUAAUGGCUUAAACUUGCUUUACUGUCUGACCUACGAGUCUAUCAGUCGCGUAAGCGGGGCAUACGAUCACAAGAUGCAGAAAGGAAAGGGUCUUGGAUUAUUGAAAAAAGCUACGCUAGGGAUAACAGGCUAAUUGCGUCAGAGAGUACAUAUUGAGUACGCAGUUUGGCACCUCGAUGUCGGCUUAGCUUAUCCUCGUGAACGCAGAAAUCAUGAAGGGUACGGCUGUUCGUCGUUUAAAAAGCUACACGAGCUGGGUUAAAUACGUCGUGAGACAGUAUGGUUUCUAUCUUCUAGGGGGAAUUAGAGUAAAAUAAGGGUUGACCCUUCGUACGAAAGGAGUUGGGUAUAGUAACCUCUGGUUUACCUGUUGUUUAUUGUGUCCGAUAUUAAUAUCACCGGGCGGUUUUAAAAACCACCUGUCCUUGUUUAUUUCCUAGCUAGGGAGCAUACAAGGGAAAGAUAAUUUCUUUGUCUAUAUACGGAUUUAGGUUCGGAUAGAUAAAGAUAGGGGAGUUACUAUCACUUAAGUAAUUUUAUAGCAUAGGCACGGCAGGAAAGCUACGUUUUUUAAGGAUAAGGGCUGAAUGCAUGUAUGUUCGAAUCCCACUUUAAGAUACUCUUAAAAAAAUACGUGGUAUACUACUACGAUUUAUGUGUUUAAAACAUAUUACUAAUAGGUUUUGACUGUAAGGAUUGCAAUCUUUAGGUAAAAAAUACUAAUUUAUUAUACACUGGAUAAUACACUUAUCGUU